AUUAUGUGUGCUAUUUUCUCGGAUCAAUAUUACUUGUCGUUGGUUUAGUACAACUAAUAUGUAUCGAAGGGAGUAGCAUUUUCUGCA